rnacentral:rRNA from 1 species
GGUUAAGCGACUAAGCGUACACGGUGGAUGCCCUGGCAGUCAGAGGCGAUGAAGGACGUGCUAAUCUGCGAUAAGCGUCGGUAAGGUGAUAUGAACCGUUAUAACCGGCGAUUUCCGAAUGGGGAAACCCAGUGUGAUUCGUCACACUAUCAUUAACUGAAUCCAUAGGUUAAUGAGGCGAACCGGGGGAACUGAAACAUCUAAGUACCCCGAGGAAAAGAAAUCAACCGAGAUUCCCCCAGUAGCGGCGAGCGAACGGGGAGCAGCCCAGAGCCUGAAUCAGUGUGUGUGUUAGUGGAAGCGUCUGGAAAGGCGUGCGAUACAGGGUGACAGCCCCGUACACAAAAAUGCACAUACUGUGAGCUCGAUGAGUAGGGCGGGACACGUGGUAUCCUGUCUGAAUAUGGGGGGACCAUCCUCCAAGGCUAAAUACUCCUGACUGACCGAUAGUGAACCAGUACCGUGAGGGAAAGGCGAAAAGAACCCCGGCGAGGGGAGUGAAAAAGAACCUGAAACCGUGUACGUACAAGCAGUGGGAGCACGCUUAGGCGUGUGACUGCGUACCUUUUGUAUAAUGGGUCAGCGACUUAUAUUCUGUAGCAAGGUUAACCGAAUAGGGGAGCCGAAGGGAAACCGAGUCUUAACUGGGCGUUAAGUUGCAGGGUAUAGACCCGAAACCCGGUGAUCUAGCCAUGGGCAGGUUGAAGGUUGGGUAACACUAACUGGAGGACCGAACCGACUAAUGUUGAAAAAUUAGCGGAUGACUUGUGGCUGGGGGUGAAAGGCCAAUCAAACCGGGAGAUAGCUGGUUCUCCCCGAAAGCUAUUUAGGUAGCGCCUCGUGAAUUCAUCUCCGGGGGUAGAGCACUGUUUCGGCAAGGGGGUCAUCCCGACUUACCAACCCGAUGCAAACUGCGAAUACCGGAGAAUGUUAUCACGGGAGACACACGGCGGGUGCUAACGUCCGUCGUGAAGAGGGAAACAACCCAGACCGCCAGCUAAGGUCCCAAAGUCAUGGUUAAGUGGGAAACGAUGUGGGAAGGCCCAGACAGCCAGGAUGUUGGCUUAGAAGCAGCCAUCAUUUAAAGAAAGCGUAAUAGCUCACUGGUCGAGUCGGCCUGCGCGGAAGAUGUAACGGGGCUAAACCAUGCACCGAAGCUGCGGCAGCGACGCUUAUGCGUUGUUGGGUAGGGGAGCGUUCUGUAAGCCUGUGAAGGUGUGCUGUGAGGUAUGCUGGAGGUAUCAGAAGUGCGAAUGCUGACAUAAGUAACGAUAAAGCGGGUGAAAAGCCCGCUCGCCGGAAGACCAAGGGUUCCUGUCCAACGUUAAUCGGGGCAGGGUGAGUCGACCCCUAAGGCGAGGCCGAAAGGCGUAGUCGAUGGGAAACAGGUUAAUAUUCCUGUACUUGGUGUUACUGCGAAGGGGGGACGGAGAAGGCUAUGUUGGCCGGGCGACGGUUGUCCCGGUUUAAGCGUGUAGGCUGGUUUUCCAGGCAAAUCCGGAAAAUCAAGGCCGAGGCGUGAUGACGAGGCACUACGGUGCUGAAGCAACAAAUGCCCUGCUUCCAGGAAAAGCCUCUAAGCAUCAGGUAACAUCAAAUCGUACCCCAAACCGACACAGGUGGUCAGGUAGAGAAUACCAAGGCGCUUGAGAGAACUCGGGUGAAGGAACUAGGCAAAAUGGUGCCGUAACUUCGGGAGAAGGCACGCUGAUACGUAGGUGAAGCGAC